UUGGAGGGCAAGUCUGGUGCCAGCAGCCGCGGUAAUUCCAGCUCCAAUAGCGUAUAUUAAAGUUGUUGCAGUUAAAAAGCUCGUAGUUGAAUUUCGGGAUCAUCAGGUUGGUCGUGCCUCUGGUAUGUACUUUCCUCGAUGGUUCCUCCUUCUUGAAGAUCCGUAAUGUCAUUAAUUAGGUGUUGCGGGGAAUCAGGACUGUUACUUUGAAAAAAUUAGAGUGUUUAAAGCAGGCAAUCGCUUGAAUACAUUAGCAUGGAAUAAUGAAAUAGGACGUUCGAUCCUAUUUUGUUGGUUCCUAGGAUUGACGUAAUGAUUAAUAGGGAUAGUUGGGGGCAUUAGUAUUCAAUUGUCAGAGGUGAAAUUCUUGGAUUUAUUGAAGACUAACUACUGCGAAAGCAUUUGCCAAGGAUGUUUUCAUUAAUCAAGAACGAAAGUUAGGGGAUCGAAGACGAUCAGAUACCGUCGUAGUCUUAACCAUAAACUAUGCCGACUAGGGAUCGGAUGAUGUUAAUUUUUUAAUGACUCAUUCGGCGCCUUACGGGAAAC
rnacentral:rRNA from 1 species